CCGGCACGGGUGCGUAACGCGUAUGCAACCUACCUUUAACAGGGGGAUAACACUGAGAAAUUGGUACUAAUACCCCAUAAUAUCAUAGAAGGCAUCUUUUAUGGUUGAAAAUUCCGAUGGUUAGAGAUGGGCAUGCGUUGUAUUAGCUAGUUGGUGAGGUAAUGGCCCACCAAGGCGACGAUCGGUAGCCGGACUGAGAGGUUGAACGGCCACAUUGGGACUGAGACACGGCCCAG
rnacentral:rRNA from 1 species